rnacentral:rRNA from 1 species
UACGUAGGGGGCAAGCGUUGUCCGGAUUUAUUGGGCGUAAAGAGCGUGUAGGCGGCCAUUCAGGUCAGCUGUGAAAAUUCGAGGCUCAACCUCGAGACGUCGGUUGAAACCGUUUGGCUAGAGUCCGGAAGAGGAGAGUGGAAUUCCCGGUGUAGCGGUGAAAUGCGCAGAUAUCAGGAGGAACACCGGUGGUGUAGACGGCUCUCUGGACCGUAACUGACGCUGAGACACGAAAGCGUGGGUAGCAAACAGG